GGGUAGUUAGCUCAGUUGGUAGAGCAUCGCCCUUACAAGGCGAGGGUCGGGGGUUCGAAUCCCUCACUACCCACCA
rnacentral:tRNA from 2 species